CCAAAGGCUCUUUUCAGAGCCACUCACACUCCCACUGAAAGUAGCU
rfam:Loxodonta africana unplaced genomic scaffold scaffold_108, whole genome shotgun sequence.